UACGUAGGGGGCAAGCGUUGUCCGGAAUCAUUGGGCGUAAAGGGCGCGUAGGCGGCGCGGGGAGUCAACGGUGAAAGCUCGGCGCUCAACGCCGAGUCGGCCGUCGAUACUCCCGUGCUCGAGCACUGUAGAGGCAGGUGGAAUUCCGGGUGUAGCGGUGGAAUGCGUAGAGAUCCGGAAGAACACCGGUGGCGAAGGCGGCCUGCUGGGCAGUAGCUGACGCUGAGGCGCGACAGCGUGGGGAGCAAACAGG
rnacentral:rRNA from 1 species